GGCCGCGGCCGGAACGCGGGAGGGGAUCGACGGGCCGGGCCGGCCGCUCGCGCGCCUGUCGGCGGUGGAUUGCAGUGAAGUCGGCUUGUUGAACACGGGAUUUCCCCCAGCAGCGCGCCGUGGCUGCGCUUCCAACGGCAAAUAACCAGCGCCGGGGCGGCAGCCGAGCACCAAGGCCGCACACCCUCUGCUCGAGUUUCCCGAAUCCUUGGAGAUUUGCUUUAAUUUUAAUUGAAAAUUAGGUCCGGCGAUACGUAUCCGGUUAAAACAGUCGGUUUCUCAUGUGUCUGAUCGGGAUGAAUGAUGAGCUAUUUGUUCCGGCUAUGGCCACAGCACUUUUCUUUUUAAUCACUACUUUCCACAAAAUACAGUGCUAGUAGCAACUUUCCUGUUUAGUUUGGAAGACGUUGAUCAAAAGAUUUAAUAUUAGAUGACUGAAGUUUCUGGCACUGUUUUCUUCCAAUUUAGGGCUACUAGCAACUUUUCUGAUUAGUAUUUCGGAGGACACUAGUCUGAGUGUUUUAAACUUGAAUGGCUAAAGCUAGGGCUCUAAGCAGAGAAGUGGUUAAGUGUAUAGUUUCCUUGUUGCUCAAACUGUUGUAGAGGGUGAGUAUGAUAUUAUUGCUUUGUUUUUAAUAUAUACAGUUAACCUAAAAAGACUAUAUUGCAUCUUCAACAUAUUUACUUCAUUUAAGAUAGCCAGCUUUGGAAUGCAAAAAUCACUAUUUUUUGUAAUUGCAUUUCGAUCAUUAAGUUACACUCUUUAGAAGGAGCCUUACAAAUCAUUAUUUUAUUCUCCAGAUUGCAGAUUAUAGUCUCCCUUGAACUGGAGGGAAGGUGAAUGAAAGCCCUGAGUGUAUUCCAUAAUAGGCCUAUUGGUCUACUAGUAGAUAAAACUUGGCAACUUCUACCUAUGAAUAUCACUUCCCCUCCCUCUCCUUUUUCUUAAAAACUGGUGCUUAUUUUAUGUCACACUUAUCUGACAACGUUCAGUGGCAGAAAAAGGAUAACAAUGAGAACAAAGUAACAGGAGAGAUUUGAAGAGGAGAAUGGGACAGAAAGAAACAGGCACUUCAUUUAAAUCAGUCUUUAAGAACAAAUCAUUCUAGGCAGGACUGAGCACUAUUAAUAUCACCCUGGCCUCAUGAUAGAGGCACUGUUACAGCUUAAGAUGCAUUUGCCUUUGUGAUUGGUCUUUGUUUAAGCACACAAGUACUUUUCAGAUAUACUCUCAGUGAGACAGUGAGUGAUGUGUAAUGCGUUAUUUUUGCAGCAUUUUUAGCCCAGAAGAGAAUGGAGGAAAAUAUUUUAAAAUCAGUGGUUGCUUUAAUCUAUUUCAGACAUCCUCCUUCUUAGUAUGGUGUAAGUAGUCCUUAGUAUGUCAGUAAGUAAUGAAAUAUAUGUAUUAUCAAUCAGUAUUUUAACUGCUUCCUGAUAAGGUUAUCAAUUCUCUUCGGUUGCUCGUAUUCAGUUUUCUAAGUAUUUCACAUGCAGCCCUUGAAUUAGACUUCUCUAUUCUGGGAGCACUGCAUUACCCCGCAGUUAUCUUGCCUAGCCAAGCGUUACCUCUCGGGUUAAACAAAACUGGGCAGACAUCAGCGCAGUUUUAUGGCUGACCAAAAGAGCAAAGCACAGAUAGCCUGCGAGACACAUCCAAAAGCCUCCAAAUGGCCAAGACUGACAAACCACUACUCUUGAAGGGGAGGCAGGGAGCUCCAAGAGCAGCUCCCAGGCAGGAAUAACCCCCGAGUCCCAUACCUAGUGACAUAAAUAGGCCGUGCUGAUCACUUUCAGCAUGAUCCGGCAGAGUCCUUACUUUGACCCGCUGCCAGGAAUUCAUAAUAUCAAGCAGCCCUUGUGCCAGCACAGUCCUGUUCAGUCCCGGGAUGUAGCCACAACACAGAAGGCACACUUUAAGUGCUUUUCAAGCUCACAAAUCUCAAUUGCUUUGUAGCAUAUUUAUAGUGACAAAGCUGCCCACGGACUGCUGGUAGCGCAGCAGGUAACAAGGGAAGCAGCUGAUUCCCAUCCACCUCUCGAUGGCAGGAAGAAAGCUUAUCUGUACCCACCUGGGAAAACCACUUUUUAAGAGAGAGGGGCAAGGCAGUACAAGACCCAGUACUGGCCUCCUAUAGACUGGCAACAUAUAUGCUCCAGCUUUAGAACAGAGCCUCUCCAGGUUGCCUGCAUACCUUGAGUCCUACUCUUCAGGGGUGGUAGACUCAAAGCCUCAGGCUGGAUUACCAUCUUAAGUGAUGACAGGUUUUGCAGGAGUAGGUAGUUGGAAAAUACAAAAACUACUAGGAAAAUAAAAUACAAACCUCAAUUUCACCUCAUGGCCAGUGGCAGAUACUUCCUUAGUAGUUAUAGAGCAUCUCAACUAACAUCCAUAGGGAAGGGAAACAGCCAGCGAAGUGAGCGCCCAGUUUUUACAGGACAACUUUUUUCUCUGAUAACUAACAUGCAGUUCUGGGUGGAAAAGUGGAAAAGGAAAGAAAUGGGAGUCUUAACAUUAGAUACAAGAAAUUAGAUUUCUUCCUCUACUCCUGCAAUCUAGGAGACUCUGGCUAGUCAUUUGUCAGCAACAUUCAGCACCACUCAGAACUGAUAGCAACCCAUUUUUUCUGUUAGAUAUGACACUUUCUCCCUGUCAAGUUUUAGAAUGACAGUAGUGGGUGAAGAAACUCCCAGACUUAAUAAAGGCAAAGCAUUCUGCUGAUAUUUGCUUAGCUGAAGAGUAAUACCCGGGCAGAUCUUGUUUAGGCAAGAAAAGCAAAAUGGGAAGAUGAAUUCUACUUGUUUAUGCUUUUGUUAGUAUCAUUCCACUGACUUGGCUAUACAGGCUCUUGGUUCACUUAACCUUGAGAACUGUUGGCUCCAGGAACGCUAAUGGCAUUAUGCAUUAACUGUGUUACAGAAAAAAAUAGCAUAUACUGCUAAGUUUGGUGCUUCUAAACAUGUAGCAAUGUCUUCAAGGUACAAAAAGUACCUUACAUAUCUUCCAUGCUUUAUUUCUACAACAAAAAUGUCCACAUCUGUAUCAAGACAGUGGUAUAACUCACUCUUUCAGGUAUAAGUGACAAAUAAUAGAAAGUGAUGAUGUCUGUCAUUUGUAGGUGGAUGAGCACUCACCAUAGGUUUAAGGGCAGGAAGGCCUCUUUUUUAAACUCCUCUCCAUGUAAAGGAGUGUGUAGUUGCUUAUCAUUCAGGCUGGUUUUGACAGAUUUCUCAAAAUCCUCUUCCAUCUGCUGGCAGCCAAGGAAUGCAGCACAUACGGGCCCAAAUAAAACCUCCCUGAAACUAAUAUUCCUACACUGAAUAAUGUUGAGGUACACUGUGCUAGCUCAGGGGAGCAGAAUUAAGCAUUUUUAACUGGCUGGUUUUUUUCUCCUGUGACUCAGCACAUCCAAAGUUUACGAAGCAGACAUAGAAAGGAGAGAGAAAAUGAGAUGAAAACUGGAAAUCAGUAGCAGACUCUAGGGGCAAAUAAAGACAUGCCUAUGGCAGCUGUAGGACAGAGACACAAAACAAGCCGGGGAGUGAUGACAGGUAGGACAGAGAAAGGACAUUUAUUGUCAUCUCUGCUUCAAAAGGAGAUCAAAGAACACGGUCCGCUAGCCCUCUGUUAUCAUUUAUUGGGAAAAAUCGAAGAACAGGGGAUCAAUCUCUGCAAUCUUCCUUUCAGUACUACUGCGUGCAGAAGUGAGGAGUACGGACAGGUACACAGAGAGAAACUAGCAGCCUUCUCCUGGUGUGCAGGGAUAGUGCCAAAACACAGGACUUCCUCAGAAGCGUAACAUUUAAACAAACAACCGUAUUACUGUGAUUUUAUUAUCCCAAGAGGUUUUUCUUCUUUUAGUAAUUGAUAGCCAUGCAUCCAGAAAGCUGCAGUGCCAAGCCCAAAAAGGGAGUACAAGUAAAUGCAUGUCACCUGCAAGAGACUGGUGGAGAGGACUCAAGGAAACAGAACUCCUCCUUUUCAAAGCUACUAUUAGGAGACUUAUGGAGAAUUAUCGGUAGGAAGGUGAAACAGAUCCUCAACAACUGCUUUUGUAUCAUUUAAUCCUAGAAUAACCCAAUUGCUGUGAGGUUUGCAAGAAGUCUGUUCAAAAUUCAUAUGGGGAGAGGAGUAAAAAUAAACCUGUAUUAUCCCAA